GUCUUCGUGGUGUAACGGUAGUACACUGGACUCGUAUUCGAGAGGUUCAGGUUCGAGUCCCGGCGAGGGCA
rnacentral:tRNA from 1 species